rnacentral:rRNA from 1 species
GAUAAACGCUGGCGGCGUGCGUUAUGCAUGCAAGUCGAACGGGUCACUUCGGUGAUCAGUGGCAAACGGGUGAGUAACGCGUAAGUAACCUGCCCCUAAGUUGAGAAUAACCUGGGGAAACCCUGGCUAAUACUGAAUGUGGUGGCUGGGUUGAUGCUCAGUCACUAAAGCCGCAAGGCGCUUGGGGAGGGGCUUGCGUCUGAUUAGCUUGUUGGUGGGUAACGGCCUACCAAGGCGAUGAUCAGUAGCUGGUUUGAGAGGAUGAUCAGCCACACUGGGACUGAGACACGGCCCAGACUCCUACGGGAGGCAGCAGCAAGGAAUAUUGGGCAAUGGGCGAAAGCCUGACCCAGCGACGCCGUGUGGGGGAAGAAGGCUCUUGGGUUGUAAACCCCUUUUCUCUGGGAAGAAUAAUGACGGUACCUGAGGAAUAAGUCUCGGCUAACUACGUG